rnacentral:rRNA from 1 species
ACGGCGAGUGAAGCGGCAACAGCUCAAAUUUGAAAUCUGGCCUCACGGUCCGAGUUGUAAUUUGUAGAGGAUGCUUCGAACGUGGUCCGGUCUAAGUUCCUUGGAACAGGACGUCAUAGAGGGUGAGAAUCCCGUAUGUGACCGGGUGCCUUAGUUCAUGUGAAGCUCCUUCGACGAGUCGAGUUGUUUGGGAAUGCAGCUCAAAAUGGGUGGUAAAUUUCAUCUAAAGCUAAAUAUUGGCCAGAGACCGAUAGCGCACAAGUAGAGUGAUCGAAAGAUGAAAAGCACUUUGGAAAGAGAGUUAAACAGUACGUGAAAUUGUUGAAAGGGAAGCGCUUGCAACCAGACUUGCGCGCAGCCGAUCAUCCGAGAUUUUUCCCGGUGCACUCGGUUGUGCUCAGGCCAGCAUCGGUUUUGGCGGUUGGAUAAAGGCCUUGGGAAUGUAGCUUCUUUCGGGGAGUGUUAUAGCCCAAGGUGCAAUGCAGCCUGCUGGGACCGAGGACCGCGCUUCGGCUAGGAUGCUGGCGUAAUGGUUGUAAGCGGCCCGUCUUGAAACACGGACCAAGGAGUCUAACAUCUAUGCGAGUGUUUGGGUGUCAAACCCAUACGCGUAAUGAAAGUGAACGGAGGUGAGAACCCUUAAGGGUGCAUCAUCGACCGAUCCUGAUGUCUUCGGAUGGAUUUGAGUAAGAGCAUAGCUGUUGGGA